ACGGAGGGUGCAAGCGUUACUCGGAAUCACUGGGCGUAAAGAGCGUGUAGGCGGAUAUAUAAGUCAGAAGUGAAAUCCAAUAGCUUAACUAUUGAACUGCUUUUGAAACUGUAUAUCUAGAGUGUGGGAGAGGUAGAUGGAAUUUCUGGUGUAGGGGUGAAAUCCGUAGAGAUCAGAAGGAAUACCAAUUGCGAAGGCGAUUUACUGGACCAUAACUGACGCUGAGGCGCGAAAGCGUGGGGAGCGAACAG
rnacentral:rRNA from 1 species